rnacentral:rRNA from 1 species
AUACGUAGGGGGCGAGCGUUAUUCGGAAUUACUGGGUGUAAAGGGUAUGUAGGCGGUCUCGCGAGUCGCACGUCAAAGUCCAGCGCUCAACGCUGGGUUCGCGCGCGAUACUGUGGGACUAGAGGGCUGGAGAGGUGAGCGGAAUUCCCGGUGUAGUGGUAAAAUACGUAGAUAUCGGGAGGAACACCAGCGGCGUAGGCGGCUCACUAGACAGUUUCUGACGCUAAGAUACGAAAGCGUGGGGAGCAAACAGGAUUAGAUACCCUGGUAGUCCACGCCCUAAACGAUGGAUACUUGGUGUUGGGGGGUUGCCCUCAGUGCCGGAGCUAACGCGUUAAGUAUCCCACCUGGGGACUACGGCCGCAAGGCUAAA